GUCUAAUUUUAAUUAUGGAAUUAUCAUUACUAUUUUAUAAGUCUCAAACGUAAAUUUGAGAUUUAUAAAAUCAGUUAUAGGGCUUUGGAGUUGACGUCACGCCGCAAUGCAUUGUGGGAGCAUGCCACCAUUUUAUCAGGCCACGAAUCAAAACAAACACUCGUUUGGAAGGAAGAUACAAACCGUACUUAAAAGCAGCUCAAAACAAAAAGAACUUUAUAGACUCAGAUUGUGUCGGACGGUACUUGCAAAAAAUAGCGUGCAUUGGAAAUGUGGACCCGUAUGAAAAAACGGCAGUGGAGCAGAAACCCCGAAGCCUGAUAUAUUUCCGUACCUGUGGAGUUAGCGCAUACACAGCGAACCAGUUUCGCAAUUACAAAUGUCUGGAGGCGCACAUCCGAUUAACCAAUGGUUGGUUACAAGAUUUGGCUAUUUUUAGACUCCACGUUGUGAAUACGUCGUCAUUCAAACAAAGGGGUUGGAACUAGCUAUUAAAAUGGUCAUCACCAGACCAAGGCUCAAUUGAGUCAUGGAAGGAGAAAUCAGAAAUAAACUGCACAACGACGUGGCUGGUGACCCACUUCACCUCUCCUUGCUAAACACUGGAGAAUCAUGCAAAGACUUUGAUGUAACAGAUUGACCUCUAACAGCAACCAUGGGCAUCAGUGAUGAGAAAACCUGUGUUGAGACAGCACUGGCUGGACCCCACAGAGUGUGUGCAUGUUUGCAGUGAGGAUGAACUCUUCCACCUUGAAAGCACAGAUGACAUGGCAAAUAAGAUUGAGACAGCAACAGGAGAACAGGCAGCCGACCAGGAUUAGCAUCAGCUCCA